rnacentral:rRNA from 1 species
GACGAACGCUGGCGGCGUGCUUAACACAUGCAAGUCGAACGGACCUUCGGGUUAGUGGCGAACGGGUGAGUAACACGUGGGUGAUCUGCCCUGCACUUUGGGAUAAGCCUGGGAAACUGGGUCUAAUACCGAAUAGGACCACGCGCUUCAUGGUGUGUGGUGGAAAGCUUUUGCGGUGUGGGAUGGGCCCGCGGCCUAUCAGCUUGUUGGUGGGGUAAUGGCCUACCAAGGCGACGACGGGUAGCCGGCCUGAGAGGGUGACCGGCCACACUGGGACUGAGAUACGGCCCAGACUCCUACGGGAGGCAGCAGUGGGGAAUAUUGCACAAUGGGCGCAAGCCUGAUGCAGCGACGCCGCGUGAGGGAUGACGGCCUUCGGGUUGUAAACCUCUUUCACCAGGGACGAAGCGUAAGUGACGGUACCUGGAGAAGAAGCACCGGCCAACUACGUGCCAGCAGCCGCAGUAAUAC